ensembl:lncRNA novel transcript
AUGAAGCUGAGAUGGAAGCUGGGGCCAGAUGUGAAGGUGGAGGGGAAAGGUGAGUGCUAUUGCAAACAACAUUCAGCAAGGACCCCGCUGACAAGAGAGCAUUUGCGCAUAGGGCUGAAAAAGAUGCCUGAGGAAGUGCACCUUGGAGAGAAGGAGGUGGAGACUUUUGCCUUUCAGGCAGAAAUUGCCCAACUCAUGUCUCUUAUCAUCAAUACCUUCUAUUCCAACAAGGAGAUUUUCCUUUGGGAGUUGAUCUCUAAUGCUUCUGAUGCCUUGGACAAGAUUCGCUAUGAAAGCCUAACAGACCCUUCCAAGUUGGACAGUGGUAAAGAGCUGAAAAUUGACAUCAUCCCCAAUACUCAGGAACAUACCCUGACUUUGGUAGACACAGGCAUUGGCAUGACCAAAGCUGAUCUCAUAAAUAAUUUGGGAACCAUUGCCAAGUUUCAAGAUCAGACAGAGUACUUAGAAGAGAUGCAGGUCAAAGAAGUAGUGGAGAAGCACUCUCAGUUCCUAGGCUAUCCCAUCACCCUUUAUCUGGAGAAGGAACGAGAGAAAGAAAUUAGUGAUGGUAAGGCAGAGGAAGAGAAAGGUGAGAAAGAAGAGGAAAAUAAAGAUGACGAAGAAAAGCCCAAGAUCGAAGAUGUGGGUUCAGAUGAGGAGGAUGACAGUGGUAAGGAUAAGAAGAAGAAAACUAAGAAGAUCAAAGAGAAAUACAUUGAUCAGGAAGAACUAAACAAGACCAAGCCUAUUUGGACCAGAAACACUGAAGACAUCACCCAAGAGGAGUAUGGAGAAUUCUAUAAGAGCCUCACCAAUGACUGGAAAGACCACUUGGCAGUCAGGUACUUUUCUGUAGAAGAGUAUGUUUCUCGCAUGAAGGAGAUACAGAAGUCCAUCUAUUACAUCACUGGUGAGAGCAAAGAGCAGGUUGCCAACUCAGCUUUUGUGGAGCAAGUAUGGAAGCGGGACUCCAGGGUGGUAUAUAUGACCGAGCCCAUUGAUGGCUACGUGUGCAGCAACUCAAGGAGUUUGAUGGGAAGAGCCUGGUCUCAGUUACCAAGGAGGGCCUGGAGCUACCUGAGGAUGGGGAGGAGAAGAAGAGAAUGGAAGAGAGGAAGGCAAAGUUUGAGAACCUCUGCAAGUUCAUGAAAGAAACUUUAGAUAAGAAGGUUGAGAUGGUGACAGUCUCCAACAGGCUUGUGUCUUCAUCCUGCUGCAUUGUGACCAGCACCUACAGCUGGACAGCCAAUAUGGAGCAGAUCAUGAAAGCCUAG